AUGGAGGACAUGACAACGCCAUCAGCGAUGUGUGCCACCUGGGGCAACGGCCGGCCAUGCCCCGACGGCGACGCCACCCUCUGCGAGCUUCUGAAGCACAAGGCCAAGGACGUGCGCGUGCCAUUGUUUGGGACGCCCUCACCUCCAUGGAACUCUCUCGACAUGCGUGGGGCACAUGAGACGCACAACGUCGAGGCAGUGGAGUACUUAAACGACACCGCCGUGCAGUGCGCUCUGUGUAUGGAACCCAACGCCAGCGAGGGUGGUAGGAGCGGCAAGCUACACGAAUUCGAGAUGCGCCUCUAG
rnacentral:rRNA from 1 species